rnacentral:RNase_P_RNA from 1 species
UUUUUUCAAGAUGUUUUUUAAUAAUCCCUAUAUUAGGCAGUGCUGCUAUGGAUCUCGUUCCUGAGGAUAAGGAGGCUAUAAAUGGUAUAUUUCGUCAUUCCACUCUUAACGAGGCCUAUAAAUAUAUCUUGGUUCCUCGUUAUAAAGGUUUCCUACAUAUGAAAGAUAUUGUAAAUUAUCCUAACGCUUGGGAUAUAGUGAAAGCAGGAGUAGACGUUAUUACUUUGUAUUCUUCCCAUGGUCAUCCUAAUAAAGAAAAGUAGGUAGACCACCAGCUAUUCUAAGCUUACGGAGUAAUUAAAUUUUCUAAAUGCUGGGUUGCAGGAUGCGAAAAUGAGUUUUGCAAGCAGAUGAUCUUUUUAAAAUUAAGACAAUGGGUAGAAGCUCUGUCGGCUAUAGCUGCCAAUAGAAAUGUGUACCCGUAGUUAGGAAUUUGUUGAGAAUAAUGCAUUUAAACAAUUAUAUGACGUUUAAGUGAAGAAUAUUUUCUAUAAUGUACCAACAAAAAGAAAUCUACACUAGUCGAAUUUCAUCAUAUACUCGAUGAAUUUGACAGCGCUAUCACAUCCAAGAGUUAUUUUUCGGUUGGAUCAACCAGUUCUCUGAAAGAAAGAAUGAAAGAAAGAAAGAAAGAAUGAAUGAAUGAAUGAAUUAUUUUCGUAUAAAGUUUUUCUGCAUGGGAGCAAAACCGUCUCAUGCAAAGAAGUAUCGAUUCAAAAUUAUUAUUUCCAUAAAGCGCUGGAUUAGAUGCUUUUGAAGGCGUGAUUCCAAAACGUUACAAAAUACCUUUGCAACUCCAAAAAAGCAUUGCUCCUGUUACUUACACUUUUUUUAAUAAAGAAAUUUAGAAUCAAAUCUUAGUUUUUCAAUGACAUAAAAAAUUAUAAUAAUUGAUCAAGAACGAAUAUUGGACGGAGAAAAAAAAAUAAUUAGCCAAAAACUAUUAUUUACAAUCCAUUUCUGGAGUAACAUAUUGUUGCAAGAAAUUCUAGAUCACGUGCUAUAGCAUGAUCUAUCAAACAGAUAAAGAAAUGAGACAUUUUGUUAAGAAACUUUUUUUCUAUCGCUUUUUUACUAGGUACAGGAAGCAGCUAAUAAAGGGUGGACGAAAAAUAAUGUUCGUUCGAUAUUCCUUGAUGAAGAUCCAUUGGUUAUUUUAAGUUGGUCGCUUUAUCGCGUUUUACGCGUUUUAUUAAAUGAGGAAAGUCCGUACAUCAGAGAGCAACACAAAUGGGUAAUUCCCUUCCCCUGCAAAGUGAGGACUAGUGCAACAGAAAGAAAGUACAGUUUGGCUGUAGUGAAAUCAGGGAAACUCUGUGCGAUGAAAUGCCGUGUAUACCGACGUUAAAGAUCUGCUCGAUUGUAGUUGGGGGGUAGGCAGUUUGAGAUAGAUGGGAACAUUUAUCCGAGAUAAAUGAUAAAGGUUCCUCUAAAAAAAAGGGGUAUACAGAAUACGGC